rnacentral:rRNA from 1 species
AUUGAACGCUGGCGGCAGGCUUAACACAUGCAAGUCGAGCGGGGUGAUGGUGCUUGCACUAUCACUUAGCGGCGGACGGGUGAGUAAUGCUUAGGAAUCUGCCUAUUAGUGGGGGACAACAUCUCGAAAGGGAUGCUAAUACCGCAUACGUCCUACGGGAGAAAGCAGGGGAUCACUUGUGACCUUGCGCUAAUAGAUGAGCCUAAGUCGGAUUAGCUAGUUGGUGGGGUAAAGGCCUACCAAGGCGACGAUCUGUAGCGGGUCUGAGAGGAUGAUCCGCCACACUGGGACUGAGACACGGCCCAGACUCCUACGGGAGGCAGCAGUGGGGAAUAUUGGACAAUGGGUGUAACCCUGAUCCAGCCAUGCCGCGUGUGUGAAGAAGGCCUUAUGGUUGUAAAGCACUUUAAGCGAGGAGGAGGCUCUUUUGGUUAAUACCCAAGAUGAGUGGACGUUACUCGCAGAAUAAGCACCGGCUAUCUCUGUGCCAGCCGCCGCGGUAA